rnacentral:lncRNA from 1 species
ACAGAGGGCUUUGGAGGGUCGUGUGGUGGUGUAGAUAGGUGGUUCUAGUUUAGGUGGUGAAAACUAGGUUUCGGAUAGGUUAGCGUCUUGCUAGUUUCUGGUUGGUGGUGAUGAUAGCAGUGGGUGUCUAGGGAUUUUUCGGUUUAGUGGCAGUGGGUUUGAUGGCUAAAGGUGGCAGUGGUGCUGGUAGCGGUAGUAGGCAAAGUGGUGUUGUAGGUAAAUGUGAAGAUGGCAGAGAGGUUGAGUAGGUGG